UGGACUCAUGAUUGGUAGCAAAUCUUUUAUUUUUUUGGGGCGUCUUACUUUGCCUUGCAACUGUUCGAGGGGCGGCGCCAGCAGAGAAACGGGGCGGCUGUGCGAAGGGCGCUUGACGGUGAUGGCGGCGGAGAAGAUGGAGGAGGAAGAAGGAGGAGGAUGAGAAAACGGAGGAGAAGGAAGAGGAAGAAGAAGAAAAUAAAAAAUGUUAUAAAUUUCACCCAAACAGUAUAAUUUUCGCCUAAAGAGUGUAAAUUACAUCCCAAAGAGUAUAAUUUUUACCUCAAAGAGUGUAACUUUCAUCUAAAAUAGUGCAAAAUUUUUUUAAAAUAGUAUAAUUUUAUUUUAACAAUGUAAUUUCAUCUUCUUCUUUCUUUUUCUAUAAUUUUUAAUCUUUCCUGUAGGAAAAAAUAUAUUUUUUUAUUUUUAUUUUUUAUUAUUCUUAUUUUCUUUCUUUCUAUAAUUUUUUUUGGUCACGACCACUCCC
rnacentral:lncRNA from 1 species